AAUCAUCCACAAUGGGCGAAAGCCUGAUGGAGCAAUGCCGCGUGAAUGAAGAAUGUCUUCGGAUCGUAUAGUUCUUCUAUUAGAGAAGAACAAGUCAAGGAGUAACUGUCUUGACUUUGACGGUACCUAACGUGAAAGUCACGGCUAACUACGUGCCAGCAGCAGCGGUAAUACGUAGGUGACGAGCGUUGUCCGGAAUUAGUGGGCGUAAAGGGAGCGCAGGCGGGUGGAAGAGACUGAUGUGAAAGCCCACGGCUUAACCGUGGAAGGUCAUUGGAAACUGUCCAACUUGAAUGCAAAAGAGGAAAGUGGAAUUCCAUGUGUAGCGGUGAAAUGCGUAGAUAUAUGGAGGAACACCAGUGGCGAAGGCGACUUUCUGGGCGGUAAUUGACGCUGAGGCUCGAAAGCGUGGGUAGCGAACA
rnacentral:rRNA from 1 species